GAACAAUGGAGAGAAAGAGGGGAAGGAAAAAAGAGAAAGUGGGAGUAAAUGAAGUCAAAAUGGAAAAUGAGUUAUGACCAAAUGAGAGUCAGCAGACAGUAAGACGAGAGUAACACAUGGAAACAGGAAGAAAGUUCUGAACACGGGAAGAAUCUGGGACAAACGGUGACAGCAAAAAAAAAAAAGAGAAUGUAGUCAUGUAGUUAUUCUACUUCGUCUUGCUUCUUAUGAAAGAUGAAACCUAGCAGAUUGUUGUUCAUUGUGCUAGGAGUUAAGUCCUUUAAAACACACCAAUAACCCACCGAGGGACACUGAGUCCAUCAGAACUUACUCUGCUGGUCCGAAUUCUUCCCAGAGUUUGAUUCAAAGCUUUGUUCUUUUCAGUAGCUGCAUUUCCAGUGCAAAUGUACACAAUAACUUUGUCAAUAUUCUGCUAAUGUCAGAAAAGACUAAAUUAAGCAAUUAUGGUGGGGUGUUUUUUCCAAAUAAAAAACGCAAUUAAAAGUCACAAAUUAAUACGUUUGUUCAUGUGAAAAAAUCUGCCAUUUUGUUUUUCUCCUACCACUUCCAGUUGUCUUCUUCGUGGUUUGUGCCAGUGGAAACAUCCUGUUGAUCACGUGACACUCGUGUGAUGUGAAAAAAUGCAGUUUUUCAAAAACCAAAAACCAUAAAAUGCACCUUAUUCUAGCACAAAAUCUUUAUUCAUUAAUAAAGACAAUUUUUAUUUAGUUUUUAAAAGUCAAAUUUUGUAGUUAAAUGUUCAAUGGAAGCACAUCUAGUGAUUUAGGUCCACUGAAUGCAACACAAGUAUUUCUCCCACUAUGCAAAAAAAAAACAAAAAAAAACUACAGUUUCCAAACGUUUUUCCCUUUAACAACCAAACAUAAGUGCAGCUCUGGUCACUAGUUUAAAUACAUUCCUCUUGGAUACGACACUUUAAAAUAUGAACGUGAGGAAUCUUUUUUCUCCCCAAGAGUGGAAUGACGAUAAAAGGUAAAACUUCACUCAGUUUU